CAGAUGAAUAGUCGCGUGCCGCAAGGCAUGAGGAAAGUCCGAGCACCACAGAGCAGGAUGCCAGUUAACGGCUGGUGGAGGCGACUCCAAGGCAAGUGCAACAGAGAUAUACCGCCGGCAGCAAUGCCGGUAAGGGUGGAAAGGUGCGGUAAGAGCGCACCGGCGGCCUGGCAACUCGUCCGUCAUGUAAACCCCAUCCGGUGCAAGAUUGAUGAAGGCUAUGGGUGGCUCGCCCGUCUUCGAAAUCGCUUGAGCGGCCUGGCGACAGGUCGCGUAGAUAGAUGACUAUUCACGACAGAACUCGGCUUACAGUCUGC
rnacentral:RNase_P_RNA from 3 species